rnacentral:tRNA from 1 species
GUCCCGAUAGCUCAGCUGGAUAGAGCGUCAGAUUCCUAAUCUGAAGGCCACGCGUUCGAAUCGCGUUCGGGAUACCA